rnacentral:rRNA from 1 species
CCUACGGUGCGCAUCAGUGAGGAAUAUUGGUCAAUGGGCGGAAGCCUGAACCAGCCAAGUCGCGUGAGGGAUUAAGGCCCUGCGGGUCGUAAACCUCUUUUGCCGGGGAGCAGAGGUCCGGACGUGUCCGGGCCGGGAGAGUACCCGGAGAAAAAGCAUCGGCUAACUCCGUGCCAGCAGCCGCGGUAAUACGGAGGAUGCGAGCGUUAUCCGGAUUUAUUGGGUUUAAAGGGUGCGUAGGCGGGCAUUUAAGCCGGCGGUCAAAUGUCGGGGCUCAACCCCGGCCUGCCGUCGGAACUGGGUGCCUUGAGUGGGCGAGAAGUAUGCGGAAUGCGUGGUGUAGCGGUGAAAUGCAUAGAUAUCACGCAGAACCCCGAUUGCGAAGGCAGCCUGCCGGGGUGCGACUGACGCUGAGGCUCGAAGGUGCGGGUAUCAAACAGGAUUAGAUACCCUUGUAGUC